rnacentral:tRNA from 1 species
GCCGGGGUGGCGGAAUUGGCAGACGCACAGGACUUAAAAUCCUGGGGGCCGCAAGGCUCGUGUGGGUUCGACUCCCAUCCCCGGCA